rnacentral:rRNA from 1 species
AUUGAACGCUGGCGGCAUGCCUUACACAUGCAAGUCGAACGGCAGCACGGGGCAACCUGGUGGCGAGUGGCGAACGGGUGAGUAAUGCAUCGGAACGUACCUUUCAGUGGGGGAUAACGUAGCGAGAGUUACGCUAAUACCGCAUAUUCUGUGAGCAGGAAAGCAGGGGAUCGCAAGACCUUGCGCUGAUUGAGCGGCCGAUGUCAGAUUAGCUAGUUGGUGAGGUAAAGGCUCACCAAGGCGACGAUCUGUAGCGGGUCUGAGAGGAUGAUCCGCCACACUGGAACUGAGACACGGUCCAGACUUCUACGGGAGGCAGCAGUGGGGAAUUUUGGACAAUGGGGGCAACCCUGAUCCAGCCAUGCCGCGUGAGUGAAGAAGGCCUUCGGGUUGUAAAGCUCUUUCGGCCGGGAAGAAAUCGCACGGGCUAAUACCCUGUGUGGAUGACGGUGCCGGAAUAAGAAGCACCGGCUAACUACGUGCCAGCAGCCGCAGUAAAAC